rnacentral:rRNA from 1 species
GACGAACGCUGGCGGCGUGCUUAACACAUGCAAGUCGAGCGGUAAGGCCCUUUCGGGGGUACACGAGCGGCGAACGGGUGAGUAACACGUGGGUGACCUGCCUUUAGCUCUGGGAUAAGCCUGGGAAACUGGGUCUAAUACCGGAUACGAGUCCGCGGUGCAUGCUGUGGGGUGGAAAGCCUUGUGCGGCUGGAGAUGGGCCCGCGGCCUAUCAGCUUGUUGGUGGGGUGAUGGCCUACCAAGGCGACGACGGGUAGCCGGCCUGAGAGGGCGACCGGCCACACUGGGACUGAGACACGGCCCAGACUCCUACGGGAGGCAGCAGUGGGGAAUCUUGCGCAAUGGGCGAAAGCCUGACGCAGCGACGCCGCGUGAGGGAUGACGGCC